AGAGUUUGAUCCUGGCUCAGAUUGAACGCUGGCGGCAUGCUUUACACAUGCAAGUCGAACGGUAACAGGGAGCUUGCUCCGCUGACGAGUGGCGAACGGGUGAGUAAUGCAUCGGAACGUGCCUAUUUGUGGGGGAUAACGUAGCGAAAGUUACGCUAAUACCGCAUACGCCCUGAGGGGGAAAGCGGGGGAUUCGUAAGAACCUCGCGCAAUUAGAGCGGCCGAUGUCGGAUUAGCUAGUUGGUGGGGUAAAGGCUCACCAAGGCGACGAUCCGUAGCGGGUCUGAGAGGAUGAUCCGCCACACUGGGACUGAGACACGGCCCAGACUCCUACGGGAGGCAGCAGUGGGGAAUUUUGGACAAUGGGCGAAAGCAUGAUCCAGCCAUGCCGCGUGAGUGAAGAAGGCC
rnacentral:rRNA from 1 species